CCAGACUCCUACGGGAGGCAGCAGUGAGGAAUAUUGGUCAAUGGGCGGGAGCCUGAACCAGCCAAGUCGCGUGAGGGAAGACGGUCCUACGGAUUGUAAACCUCUUUUGCCGGGGAGCAACGGGGUCCUUGCGAGGGCCCGAUGAGAGUACCCGGAGAAAAAGCAUCGGCUAACUCCGUGCCAGCAGCCGCGGUAAUACGGAGGAUCCAAGCGUUAUCCGGAUUUAUUGGGUUUAAAGGGUGCGUAGGCGGUUUGAUAAGUUAGAGGUGAAAUACCGGUGCUCAACACCGGAACUGCCUCUAAUACUGUUGAACUAGAGAGUAGUUGCGGUAGGCGGAAUGUAUGGUGUAGCGGUGAAAUGCUUAGAGAUCAUACAGAACACCGAUUGCGAAGGCAGCUUACCAAACUAUAUCUGACGUUGAGGCACGAAAGCGUGGGUAGCAAACAGGAUUAGAUACCCUCGUA
rnacentral:rRNA from 1 species